UACAUGGGGUGCAAACGUUGCUCGGAAUCAUUGGGCGUAAAGCGCGCGUAGGCGGUUACUUAAGUCGAAUGUGAAAGCCCUCGGCUUAACUGAGGAAGUGCAUCCGAAACUGAGUAGCUAGAGUACGAAAGAGGGUCGCGGAAUUCCCGGUGUAGAGGCGAAAUUCGUAGAUAUCGGGAGGAACACCGGUGGCGAAGGCGGCGACCUGGGUCGAUACUGACGCUGAGGUGCGAAAGCGUGGGGAGCAAACAGG
rnacentral:rRNA from 1 species